CUUGCUUCUCUGAUGUUAGCGGCGGACGGGUGAGUAACACGUGGAUAACCUACCUAUAAGACUGGGAUAACUUCGGGAAACCGGAGCUAAUACCGGAUAAUAUUUUGAACCGCAUGGUUCAAAAGUGAAAGACGGUCUUGCUGUCACUUAUAGAUGGAUCCGCGCUGCAUUAGCUAGUUGGUAAGGUAACGGCUUACCAAGGCAACGAUGCAUAGCCGACCUGAGAGGGUGAUCGGCCACACUGGAACUGAGACACGGUCCAGACUCCUACGGGAGGCAGCAGUAGGGAAUCUUCCGCAAUGGGCGAAAGCCUGACGGAGCAACGCCGCGUGAGUGAUGAAGGUCUUCGGAUCGUAAAACUCUGUUAUUAGGGAAGAACAUAUGUGUAAGUAACUGUGCACAUCUUGACGGUACCUAAUCAGAAAGCCACGGCUAACUACGUGCCAGCAGCCGCGGUAAUACGUAGGUGGCAAGCGUUAUCCGGAAUUAUUGGGCGUAAAGCGCGCGUAGGCGGUUUUUUAAGUCUGAUGUGAAAGCCCACGGCUCAACCGUGGAGGGUCAUUGGAAACUGGAAAACUUGAGUGCAGAAGAGGAAAGUGGAAUUCCAUGUGUAGCGGUGAAAUGCGCAGAGAUAUGGAGGAACACCAGUGGCGAAGGCGACUUUCUGGUCUGUAACUGACGCUGAUGUGCGAAAGCGUGGGGAUCAAACAGGAUUAGAUACCCUGGUAGUCCACGCCGUAAACGAUGAGUGCUAAGUGUUAGGGGGUUUCCGCCCCUUAGUGCUGCAGCUAACGCAUUAAGCACUCCGCCCUGGGGAGUACGACCGCAAGGUUGAAACUCAAAGGAAUUGACGGGGACCCGCACAAGCGGUGGAGCAUGUGGUUUAAUUCGAAGCAACGCGAAGAACCUUACCAAAUCUUGACAUCCUUUGACAACUCUAGAGAUAGAGCCUUCCCCUUCGGGGACAAAGUGACAGUGGUGCAUGGUUGUCGUCAGCUCGUGUC
rnacentral:rRNA from 1 species